GAUGGUUAGCUUCUCUGUCUCAUCGCCACUCAUAACCACCGUCGGAGAAGAUGCUACUGAUCGCCUCAUUAUUCUAUCCUCCAUUGGCUUUAUGCUUAUCCGAUUCCACGAACGUAUCUUCUUGUCCGACUCCUUAUCGCACGGCCACUGCCCGGCCGGGAAGACUCUCCUCGGAGUUCUAAUCUCAAGCGGCUGACGUCUCUUGUCGUCCUACUCAGUCGCCGGAAGUAGCUCCACAAGUUAUUUGAGGAGAUUGAAAUUGCGAAGAGACUUUAUGGAAAGUUGAAUACAAUUUUUUAUGAAUGCUGUCCUGGAAGCCUGUGCUCACUGCGGUGAUAUUGAUUUAGCUCCGAAAAAUUCCACUGAAAUGUCCAAACCAAAUAAUUGUGGAGUAGACAAUGUCAGUUAUGGGACGCUAUUGAAGGGUUUUGGGAUUCUGAAAGAUGUCCAUGUAGUUCACAAGAUUGAACAGCAUACACUGAAAUGAUUGAUGCUUUGCUCAACUGUGGCUGUAUAGAUGGAUUUCAAGGCCUGGAAUAAGCUGAGAUGACAACACAAAAAGCUAGAAGAUGGAUGUAUAGUGUCGCAGUUUGAUCCAAUCGACAAGGAAAUGACUUCUGGAAACUCGUUGAGGAAGAGGCCCACAUGGUGAUGGUCAUUAUUUAUGAGUCCGGGGGCAAAGCCACAUUACAUUCAUCCAGGUACUAUCCUUCUGGUCCUUAGCUCAAUUAAAAUCUCCAAUUUGCCCAUUUCUUUCAUUUCUCAUGCUUCGGCGGUCACAAAUGGUAUCAGA